rnacentral:rRNA from 1 species
CCUACGGGGAGCAGCAGUGAGGAAUUUUUGUCAAUGGCCGCAGGGCUGAACCAGCCAAGUCGCGUGAGGGAUGAAGUUCCUAUGAAUUGUAAACCUCUUUUAUCAGGGAGCAAAGGGCGCCACGUGUGGCGCUUUGCGAGUACCUGGAGAAAAUGCAUCGGCUCACUCCGUGCCAGCAGCCGCGGUCAUACGGAGGAUGCGAUCUUUAUCCGGAUUUAUUGGGUUUAAAGGGUGCGCAGGCGGAAUGUCAAGUCAGCGGUAAAAUUGCGGGGCUCAACCCCGUCGUGCAGUUGAAACUGGCGUUCUUGAGUGAGCGAGAAGUAUGCGGAACGAGAGGUGUAGCGGUGAAAUGCAUAGAUA